GUAAUCAGUGGACCUGAGGACAGAAGAGUUUGAGUCCACAGUGUGCACACCCUCGGCAUAGAAAGGCUUUUAAACCUUUGAAUGGGCAAGAGACCUGCAUAAGUCAGAAGUCGUUGAAAAUAACCCUGUUGAGUGACAGGGAUCGUUUGGAAACGACACCGCAUGGACGUGUGAAACCCCCGGCGCACAGAUUUGAAUUUAAAUCGAAGAAACGCGAACAAUGCGCCUGUCGUAAUUCCUUUCGACGCCGCGCUAAUCUCCCGAAUGGAAAG